GUCGUUUUAUUUUAUCCUAACAACAUUUUAACCAUAUCUGGUUAUUGUGAGACUUACUGGGGAAGCUGUCAAGUGUCAAGGCUACAGUACUGUGCUGUGCGUGUGCUGUAACUAUUGUUAUACCAAUAAGUUGCAACCAGCAUUGAAAGAAUCAUGUUGCUGUCAACGGGCAACCAGGUGAGACACAGGGCCCACUACCGAUCUAAAAUAUCCAGACACAUUUGUUACCCAUUCUCAAUGGGAAAGUGCCCAAGCAAAAUUGCUCAAAAAGUUGCCCCGUGUAUUACCAGCCUGAGGACUUUUCAUUUAAAAGCACGACUGCACACCACUGAUACAUAGUCUACUGUAUAUGCUACAUCAAUAGCAAGUAACACAGUAGUAUCUAUUACAAAUGUACCUGGAGAGACUUCAGUAAACAAAAAUGAUUAGUUAGUUUAAUUAGAAUUAGAGUUAGUCACAGUGAAGUGAAAGAGAACAAGUUGUUUAUUUUAAAAGAUUCAUUUAUAAAGAUUGAUUCAUUCAUAAAACAAUAAUACGAUGGAUGGAUGAUUAAAAAUAGUAAGACUUUCUCAAAAACAAAUCAUGUAUUGAAUGACUAUGCAAUUUAUUGUAAUUAAACUAUGAUUCUUCCCAUUUUUAUUUUGUAUUAAUUCAUCUUGGAUGUGGGAUUAUAAAUUUCCUGACAUUUGAAA